rnacentral:rRNA from 1 species
UACGUAGGGGGCAAGCGUUAUCCGGAAUUACUGGGCGUAAAGGGUGCGUAGGUGGCCUGAUAAGUCAGGGGUCAAAGGCAACGGCUCAACCGUUGUAAGCCCUUGAAACUAUCGGGCUUGAGUUCAGGAGAGGAAAGCGGAAUUCCAAGUGUAGCGGUGAAAUGCGUAGAUAUUUGGAGGAACACCAGUGGCGAAGGCGGCUUUCUGGACUGAUACUGACACUGAGGCACGAAAGCGUGGGGAGCAAACA